GCGCCCCUAGCUCAACCCGGGAGAGCAUCGGACUCUUAAUCCGCAGGUUCUGGGGUUUAAGUCCCGGGGGGUACAC
rnacentral:tRNA from 1 species